CUGGGAUAUGGCGACAUGUAUCCGGAGACCUGGUCAGGCAUGGUUGUGGGUGCACUUUGUGCAUUGGCUGGCGUGUUAACAAUAGCCAUGCCAGUACCUGUCAUUGUCAAUAAC
rfam:Tetraodon nigroviridis, WGS project CAAE01000000 data, contig: CNS0BYYY, chromosome: undetermined